UAUGCCUCACCCCCCUGGGGGGGGCUGGGGAGCCUGGGCACGGGGGCAUGUCUGGGCUGCAAGAUAGGCAUCGGUAUCCACGGAAUUGGCCCCGCAAACACCCCAGCCCCCUCCGCCCCGUCCCGGAUGUCGGAAAAUUUCCCGGGACACGGUGGGCCCACCGGGGCCCAUUUUCGGAAAAAUUCAAAAAUGGAGCAUGGGCAUCGCCCUUGCUUUAGGCAUACAUGGGGCUUUAUUUUCUUAUUGUAGGUGAGGCAUCGAGGUGUUGUGUAGCCUAUAAUAGCCCCAGUCGGAACUGACGCGGGCCCGAAUAUGAAUUGACGGAAUUUUAUGCGGCUGUGAUGGCCGUAGAGGGCGAGGCCG
rnacentral:lncRNA from 1 species